UACGUAGGGGGCAAGCGUUGUCCGGAAUCAUUGGGCGUAAAGAGCUCGUAGGCGGCUCGUCGCGUCGACCGUGAAAACCCGCGGCUUAACUGCGGGCUUGCGGUUGAUACGGGCGGGCUAGAGUUCGGUAGGGGAGACUGGAAUUCCUGGUGUAGCGGUGAAAUGCGCAGAUAUCAGGAAGAACACCCGUGGCGAAGGCGGUUCUCUGGGACGGUACUGACGCUGAGACGCGAAAGCGUGGGGAGCGAACAGG
rnacentral:rRNA from 1 species